AUAUACCGCAGAUUCGCAGAGCUCGUCGCUUCUCUGGCUCUCUACCUCGCGUCCUCGCUGCUUCUUCCGUCCCUGCCUACCGGAGUUCCGGCGUCCGGCCUACAGCAGGAGCGCCGGCAACACCACUCAGCCGCCUCAGCGCCUCUUGUCUCCUCUCAGUGCUGGACUUUGGUGUGCAAUUCAGUGGCCUAUUUGAGCGUUAUUCCUUGAUUACUUUGAAGACAUUGGAAUCAAACUAACCUGGGGAAUAGGAAAAUUGUAAGAUUAAAGCUCCAGACCUUCAAGAAAUGGCUGACAAAUUGGCCCCUGAGAAGCACCACAGCUUCAUCCACAAUGGUCAGAAGGUCUUUGAAUGGGACCAAACACUUGAAGAGUUGAAUAUUUAUAUCAAUCUCCCGGAAAAUGUUCCCAAAAAGCUAUUCUAUUGUAAAAUCGAGUCCAAACAUUUGGUAGUUGGGAUUAAAGGCAACCCUCCUUACCUCAAUCAUGACCUUACCAAUCAUGUGAAGACAGAUUGCUCAUUCUGGACUUUAGAGGAUGAUAUAAUGCACGUAACCCUUCAGAAGAGGGAUAAAGGCCAGACAUGGUCUUCUCCUAUCAUGGGUCAAGGUCAGUUGGAUCCGUACACCACAGACCUUGAACAGAAGCGCCUCAUGCUUCAAAGGUUCCAAGAAGAGAAUCCUGGCUUUGAUUUUUCACAAGCACAGUUCAAUGGCAAUUGCCCUGAUCCAAGGUCCUUCAUGGGUGGGAUCCGAUCUACUUAACUUUGAAAGUAAUGUAUCUUCACUCUGAUUCAUCUCUGAGUCUCGGCUUACUGCUGUCUCUAGUGGAUGCCAUGCCAAAACUGGAUUUGUGCGAUUGUUAGAUUGCAGGGGAAUAUGGGCUUGACACUGUUGGAGGGAAGCUCGUCUUAGGAUUUGGUGUAGUUUGGUGGUCUAUAGCUACAGCCCUCACACCAAUUGCAGCAAAACUCAGGGUUACCUUUCUUAUUUGUUCGAGCUAGCUUUAAUAUAAUGGGGAUUGGUGAGUCUCCUGCCUUGUACGUACUACAAGUUGCCAUUAGUGGCUCCAAGUCAACAAGCAACCGGCCCUUGAUACAUUCAUUACUUUCUGCUGAGCCAAUUCCAUUUUCUCGAUCUGUUCCAGGCCAGGGUGUUGCUGGGGCCAGCAAUGAAUAAUCUUCUUUCAAAGUGGCUGGGUUCCUGGGCUGUCUCAGAAAGAAGCAGGUGAUUGGCCCUGGUGUAGAGUGGAAUGUAUCUUGGAUCUGUCACUAGUCUGGCAUAUAUUCCUUUGGUUCCUUGGGCACUGUUUGGUUCACAGUAAGGUAGACAUUGAACUGUAUGCAGUAUGCUUAUAAUAUUUUGUUUGAUUGACGGGAUUUUUUAAAACUCCACCUGCCUUCUAAUUAUUAGUUAGUUGUGGAGAGAAGCAGCAUCUAUAUACAAUUAAAUUAGUUAGUUGUGGAAAGAAGCAGCAUCUACAUAUAUAGAUGCAUACUGUGCAAUCUCGCAAUGGUUAUACUGUACUGUGAAUUGAAAAUUAAUCUACACAUUUUAUAUAUGUACCUUA